GAAAUCUUAGGUAAAUCCGGGGUUUCAAGGCCGAGAGCUGAUGACGAGUCGUCUUUUAGAUGACGAAGUGGUUGAUGCCAUGCUUCCAAGAAAAGCUUCUAAGCUUCAGGUAACCAGGAACCGUGCCCCAAACCGACACAGGUGGUCGGGUAGAGAAUACCAAGGCGCUUGAGAGAACUCGGGUGAAGGAACUAGGCAAAAUGGCACCGUAACUUCGGGAGAAGGUGCGCCGGCUAGGGUGAAGGAUUUACUCCGUAAGCUCUGGCUGGUCGAAGAUACCAGGCCGCUGCGACUGUUUAUUAAAAACACAGCACUCUGCAAACACGAAAGUGGACGUAUAGGGUGUGACGCCUCCCCGGUGCCGGAAGGUUAAUUGAUGGGGUUAGCGCAAGCGAAGCUCUUGAUCGAAGCCCCGGUAAACGGCGGCCGUAACGAUAACGGUCCUAAGGUAGCGAAAUUCCUUGUCGGGUAAGUUCCGACCUGCACGAAUGGCGUAACGAUGGCGGCGCUGUCUCCACCCGAGACUCAGUGAAAUUGAAAUCGCUGUGAAGAUGCAGUGUAUCCGCGGCUAGACGGAAAGACCCCGUGAACCUUUACUGUAGCUUUGCACUGGACUUUGAGCCUGCUUGCGUAGGAUAGGUGGAGGCUUUGAAGCGUGGACGCCAGUUCGCGUGGAGCCAUCCUUGAAAUACCACCCUGGCAUGCUUGAGGUUCUAACUCUGGUCCGUAAUCCGGAUCGAGGACAGUGUAUGGUGGGCAGUUUGACUGGGGCGGUCUCCUCCUAAAGAGUAACGGAGGAGUACGAAGGUGCGCUCAGACCGGUCGGAAAUCGGUCGCAGAGUAUAAAGGCAAAAGCGCGCUUGACUGCGAGACAGACACGUCGAGCAGGUACGAAAGUAGGUCUUAGUGAUCCGGUGGUUCUGUAUGGAAGGGCCAUCGCUCAACGGAUAAAAGGUACUCCGGGGAUAACAGGCUGAUACCGCCCAAGAGUUUAUAUCGACGGCGGUGUUUGGCACCUCGAUGCCGGCUCAUCACAUCCUGGGGCUGAAGCCGGUCCCAAGGGUAUGGCUGUUCGCCAUUUAAAGUGGUACGCGAGCUGGGUUUAGAACGUCGUGAGACAGUUCGGUCCCUAUCUGCCGUGGACGUUUGAGAUUUGAGAGGGGCUGCUCCUAGUACGAGAGGACCGGAGUGGACGAACCUCUGGUGUUCCGGUUGUCACGCCAGUGGCAUUGCCGGGUAGCUAUGUUCGGAAAAGAUAACCGCUGAAAGCAUCUAAGCGGGAAACUUGCCUCAAGAUGAGAUCUCACUGGGAACUUGAUUCCCCUGAAGGGCCGUCGAAGACUACGACGUUGAUAGGCUGGGUGUGUAAGCGUUGUGAGGCGUUGAGCUAACCAGUACUAAUUGCCCGUGAGGCUUGACC
rnacentral:rRNA from 1 species